rnacentral:pre_miRNA from 1 species
AGUAGGAUAACUGGGUCAAAUGGUGGUUCCAUUUUCUAAGGUAUCUCCAUACUGCUUUACAGAGUGGUUGCACCAAUUUGUAGUCCCACCAGCAAU